rnacentral:tRNA from 1 species
CCGUCCAUAGCUCAUUUGGUAGAGCGGAGGACUUUAGAGUUGCAGCAAACCUUAGGUCGCUGGUUCGAAUCCGGCUCGUCGGA